GUGAGGAAUAUUGGUCAAUGGACGAGAGUCUGAACCAGCCAAGUAGCGUGAAGGAUGAAGGUUCUAUGGAUUGUAAACUUCUUUUAUACGGGAAUAAACGGAUCCACGCGUGGAUUUUUGCAUGUACCGUAUGAAUAAGGAUCGGCUAACUCCGUGCCAGCAGCCGCGGUAAUACGGAGGAUCCGAGCGUUAUCCGGAUUUAUUGGGUUUAAAGGGAGCGUAGAUGGGUUGUUAAGUCAGUUGUGAAAGUUUGCGGCUCAACCGUAAAAUUGCAAUUGAUACUGGCAGUCUUGAGUACAGUUGAGGUAGGCGGAAUUCGUGGUGUAGCGGUGAAAUGCUUAGAUAUCACGAAGAACUCCGAUUGCGAAGGCAGCUUACUAACCUGUAACUGACAUUGAUGCUCGAAAGUGUGGGUAUCAAACAGGA
rnacentral:rRNA from 1 species